rnacentral:rRNA from 1 species
UACGGAGGGUGCAAGCGUUAUCCGGAUUUAUUGGGUUUAAAGGGUCCGUAGGCGGAUCUGUAAGUCAGUGGUGAAAUCUCACAGCUUAACUGUGAAACUGCCAUUGAUACUGCAGGUCUUGAGUGUUAUUGAAGUAGCUGGAAUAAGUAGUGUAGCGGUGAAAUGCAUAGAUAUUACUUAGAACACCAAUUGCGAAGGCAGCAAACUACGCAUAUAUUGACGCUGAGGCACGAAAGCGUGGGGAUCAAACAGG